GGGUGAUGGCUGCAGCGACGACGUAGCCGCUGAGAAGGGUGACGUCACACUGGGAACUGAGACACGACCAGACUCUACGGAGGCAGCAGUGGGGGAAUAUGCACAAUGGGCGCAAGCUGAUGCAGCGACGCCGCGUGGGGGAUGACGGCUUCGGGUGUAAACCCCUUUCGCCCGGGACGAAGCGUAAGUGACGGUACCGGGAGAAGAAGCACCGGCCCAACUACGUGCCAGCAGCCGCGGUAAUACGUAGGGUGCAAGCGUUGUCCGGAAUUAUUGGGCGUAAAGAGCUCGUAGGCGGUGUGUCACGUCUGCCGUGAAAACCUGCGGCUUAACCGUGGGCGUGCGGUGGAUACGGGCAUCACUUGAGUUCGGUAGGGGAGACUGGAAUUCCUGGUGUAGCGGUGGAAUGCGCAGAUAUCAGGAGGAACACCGGUGGCGAAGGCGGGUCUCUGGGCCGAUACUGACGCUGAGGAGCGAAAGCGUGGGGAGCGAACAGGAUUAGAUACCCUGGUAGUCCACGCCGUAAACGUUGGGCGCUAGGUGUGGGGUGCUGUUCACGUGUCCCGUGCCGUAGCUAACGCAUUAAGCGCCCCGCCUGGGGAGUACGGCCGCAAGGCUAAAACUCAAAGGAAUUGACGGGGGCCCGCACAAGCGGCGGAGCAUGUGGAUUAAUUCGAUGCAACGCGAAGAACCUUACCUGGGCUUGACAUGCACCGGAUCGGCGUAGAGAUACGUCUUCCCUUGUGGCUGGUGCACAGGUGGUGCAUGGCUGUCGUCAGCUCGUGUCGUGAGAUGUUGGGUUAAGUCCCGCAACGAGCGCAACCCUUGUCCCAUGUUGCCAGCGGGUUAUGCCGGGGACUCGUGGGAGACUGCCGGGGUCAACUCGGAGGAAGGUGGGGAUGACGUCAAGUCAUCAUGCCCCUUAUGUCCAGGGCUUCACACAUGCUACAAUGGCCGGUACAAUGGGCUGCGAUACCGCGAGGUGGAGCGAAUCCCUGAAAGCCGGUCUCAGUUCGGAUCGCAGUCUGCAACUCGACUGCGUGAAGUCGGAGUCGCUAGUAAUCGCAGAUCAGCAUUGCUGCGGUGAAUACGUUCCCGGGCCUUGUACACACCGCCCGUCACGUCAUGAAAGUCGGUAACACCCGAAGCCCAUGGCCCAACCCCUUGUGGGAGGGAGUGUCGAAGUGGAUC
rnacentral:rRNA from 1 species